UUGAAGAGUUUGAUCAUGGCUCAGAUUGAACGCUGGCGGCAGGCCUAACACAUGCAAGUCGAGCGGUAGCACAGAGAGCUUGCUCUCGGGUGACGAGCGGCGGACGGGUGAGUAAUGUCUGGGAAACUGCCUGAUGGAGGGGGAUAACUACUGGAAACGGUAGCUAAUACCGCAUAAUGUCGCAAGACCAAAGUGGGGGACCUUCGGGCCUCAUGCCAUCAGAUGUGCCCAGAUGGGAUUAGCUAGUAGGUGGGGUAACGGCUCACCUAGGCGACGAUCCCUAGCUGGUCUGAGAGGAUGACCAGCCACACUGGAACUGAGACACGGUCCAGACUCCUACGGGAGGCAGCAGUGGGGAAUAUUGCACAAUGGGCGCAAGCCUGAUGCAGCCAUGCCGCGUGUGUGAAGAAGGCCUUCGGGUUGUAAAGCACUUUCAGCGGGGAGGAAGGCGGUGAGGUUAAUAACCUCAUCGAUUGACGUUACCCGCAGAAGAAGCACCGGCUAACUCCGUGCCAGCAGCCGCGGUAAUACGGAGGGUGCAAGCGUUAAUCGGAAUUACUGGGCGUAAAGCGCACGCAGGCGGUCUGUCAAGUCGGAUGUGAAAUCCCCGGGCUCAACCUGGGAACUGCAUUCGAAACUGGCAGGCUAGAGUCUUGUAGAGGGGGGUAGAAUUCCAGGUGUAGCGGUGAAAUGCGUAGAGAUCUGGAGGAAUACCGGUGGCGAAGGCGGCCCCCUGGACAAAGACUGACGCUCAGGUGCGAAAGCGUGGGGAGCAAACAGGAUUAGAUACCCUGGUAGUCCACGCCGUAAACGAUGUCGAUUUGGAGGUUGUGCCCUUGAGGCGUGGCUUCCGGAGCUAACGCGUUAAAUCGACCGCCUGGGAGUACGGCCGCAAGGUUAAAACUCAAAUGAAUUGACGGGGGCCCGCACAAGCGGUGGAGCAUGUGGUUUAAUUCGAUGCAACGCGAAGAACCUUACCUGGUCUUGACAUCCACAGAACUUUCCAGAGAUGGAUUGGUGCCUUCGGGAACUGUGAGACAGGUGCUGCAUGGCUGUCGUCAGCUCGUGUUGUGAAAUGUUGGGUUAAGUCCCGCAACGAGCGCAACCCUUAUCCUUUGUUGCCAGCGGUCCGGCCGGGAACUCAAAGGAGACUGCCAGUGAUAAACUGGAGGAAGGUGGGGAUGACGUCAAGUCAUCAUGGCCCUUACGACCAGGGCUACACACGUGCUACAAUGGCAUAUACAAAGAGAAGCGACCUCGCGAGAGCAAGCGGACCUCAUAAAGUAUGUCGUAGUCCGGAUUGGAGUCUGCAACUCGACUCCAUGAAGUCGGAAUCGCUAGUAAUCGUAGAUCAGAAUGCUACGGUGAAUACGUUCCCGGGCCUUGUACACACCGCCCGUCACACCAUGGGAGUGGGUUGCAAAAGAAGUAGGUAGCUUAACCUUCGGGAGGGCGCUUACCACUUUGUGAUUCAUGACUGGGGUGAAGUCGUAACAAGGUAACCGUAGGGGAACCUGCGGUUGGAUCACCUCCUU
rnacentral:rRNA from 1 species